GAUGAACGCUAGCGGCAGGCCUAACACAUGCAAGUCGAGGGGUAGGGUUAGCUUGCUAACUUGAGACCGGCGCACGGGUGCGUAACGCGUAUGCAAUCUACCUUGUACAGAGGGAUAGCCCAGAGAAAUUUGGAUUAAUACCUCAUAGUAUCUUUACCUGGCAUCGGGUAAUUAUUAAAGUUCCAACGGUACAAGAUGAGCAUGCGUCCCAUUAGUUAGUUGGUAAGGUAACGGCUUACCAAGACAAUGAUGGGUAGGGGUCCUGAGAGGGAGAUCCCCCACACUGGUACUGAGACACGGACCAGACUCCUACGGGAGGCAGCAGUGAGGAGUAUUGGUCAAAUGGACGCAAGUCUGAACCAGCCAUGCCGCGUGCAGGAAGACGGUCCUAUGGAUUGUAAACUGCUUUUUAUACAGGUAAGAAAACAACUCUACGUGUAGAGUCUUGACGGUACUGUAGGAAUAAGGAUCGGCUAACUCCGUGCCAGCAGCCGCGGU
rnacentral:rRNA from 1 species